AAAGGAACCGGAGCACUAUCACCCACCAAUGACAGAAAUGACAAACCAUGAAGAUAAAAUAAAAUGAAGGAAAUGUAGAUUCACAUGAAACCAUGAAAUUCAGUUGGACCCCACGAAUCCAACGGGUCCGGUAAUAUCCGAAUGAGAUCAUCCUCUCUCCAAAGUUUUAUCUGGCGAUAUUAUCCAUCCAUCCAAUAAACACCACAGUUGAAAGUUCAAGCAAAAAUUCUCCAAAAAAGAAUAAGAAAAAAAAAUUCCAGAGUCUGAUACCCUUGUAUUGAGAAGAGAAAGAUGGUAGUGAGUAACCAUUUAUAUGGUGUUGGGCAUCCAAUCUCAAUGCUUCAGCUAAAACCCUUUUGUUAUAUAGAUUUCUCAGCCAAGAAGUCAUCCAAUUUCAGCUUUGUUUUGGGUUGGAAUUGGAGUUUUGCUACUGUUCAAAACAGGCCUUUUUUAAAGCACCAACCGAAGAACUCUUCUUUGCGUUGCUGCUUCAACAACAGCAAUAAAGGCAUCAUCCCCAUCAACGAUAAUACUAUCAGUUCUUCUUCUGAAUGGGAUUGGAAUCGAUGGAGUCGCCAUUUCUCUGAGAUUGAACAGGCUGAGAGUUAUGCAUCUGUUCUCAAGUUCCAACUUGAAGAUGCAAUUGAUAAGGAAGACUUUCAAGAAGCAGCAAAGUUAAAGCUGGCUAUUGCAGAGGUUGCGUCAAAGGACAGUGUAGCUGAAAUCAUGUCUCAGUUGAAGAAUGCCAUAGAUGAAGAGCGGUACCAUGAUGCUUCGCGGUUGUCUAGACAAACAGGAAGUGGACUGAUGGGCUGGUGGGUAGGCUACUCAAAGGACUCUGAUGAUCCGUUUGGUAGACUAGUGCGCAUAACACCUGGUGUAGGUAGAUUUGUUGCUAGGAGUUACAGUCCAAGGCAGUUGCUCAGUGCAUCGCCUGGAACUCCACUAUAUGAGAUUUUUGUGGUUAAAGAAGAUGAAGAAACAUAUUUUAUGCAGGUAGUUUAUUUGCAGCAUGUAAAAGGAAGUUCUAUGAAUAGUACCAGCGCAUCUGCUAAGCCUACAAAAACCCCAUCCACUUCUGAAGUUGAGAAGGCAUCUGUUAUAGAUGUUCAGGGGAAUGAAGGUAAGGUUGAACGAAGUGAUGAGAAGGGAAUAAAUAUUGAGGGAGCAACUGAGGAAGGGAUAAAAAGUGUGAUAAAUUUUCUUAAAAAUAAAAUUCCAGGACUGAAAGUCAAAGUCAUGAACGUUGAUGUUUCUGAGGAAGAAAUAGUUAAUGAUUCUGUGGAGCAGUUGAUGCAAGAAGAUGAAGAGAAAACAGCUUCCACUGAGAAUUCUGAAGAUGAAACUAAUGAUUUGGAAGAGAUUCAACGUGAUGGAGUUGCUUCGGAAGAGGGUAGCAAUUCUGCUGUAGACAGCAACGAUUUGGAUAUGAAGCUUUUCAUUGGUGGGCUUGUACAUAAUAAUGAGGACACUCCUUCUAAGGAUGAGUAUGUUCGUCUUCCAGCUGAUAUAAAGGACUUGGAAAGAGAUUCUUUUCUGCUACAUGUUCCCAAGAGGAGUUUAGAUAAUGACACUGGAGAAAGUAAAGUGUCGAAGGUGAAAAUGGCAGCUAUAACAGCUCAAGGUGUUUCUGAGCUUAUGCCUCCAGAUGUUGCCAAGGCAUUUUGGGGUUCUAAUAAGGCUUCUUCUAAGGUUUCUAGAGAUGUGCGCGAAAUUGUCAAACUUGCUGUUAGUCAGGCACGGAGGCGGAGCAGAUUAUCUGAGUAUACAAAUUUCAAUCGAAUUAGCAGUGAUAAUGGAAAUUCAGACCCAUUUGAAGGCCUCUAUGUUGGUGCAUUUGGUCCUUAUGGAGCUGAGAUAGUCCAACUGAGGCGUAAAUAUGGCCGCUGGAAUAAUGCAGAUGACGAAUCUUCAGAUGUUGAGUUCUUUGAAUAUGUUGAAGCUGUGAAGCUUACCGGAGAUCUCAAUGUUCCUGCUGGCCAGGUUACUUUUCGUGCCAAAAUUGGUAGGGAGAGUCGCCUCCCCAACCGUGGGUUGUAUCCCGAUGAGUUAGGAGUGGUUGCAUGUUACAAAGGUCAGGGAAGAAUAGCGGAAUUUGGUUUCCAUAAUCCACGAUGGGUUGAUGGUGAGCUUCUCCAACUCAAUGGCAAGGGCAUUGGACCCUAUGUCAAAGGAGCUGAUCUAGGUUUCCUUUACAUUGUCCCUGAGCAAAGUUUCCUCGUAUUAUUCAACCGUUUAAGAUUACCUGAUUGAGCCUAAUCUAUUACUGAAUUUGACAAAACAAUGGAUCAACAAUCUGAUGCUGAGGAGCUCUUUAGUGCUAAUAUUUGAGAGGACAAUGUUAGUGUUAUGUGAAGCAGAAUUUGAUGGAGAGCUGUUUUUGUUGUUUUAAAUGGUAAAGGAAUUGGAUUAUAUGAAAGACUAAUGAUAUCUAAGGAGAAAGAAAAGAGGGAAGGAUGCUUUACUUGUUUCUUUUUCAUUUUUUUGGUAUAUUCUGUUGGAAACCUAGGGGAGGGGGCUAUUUGUGCAGGACAUGUAUCCGAGCAAUUAGAGGUUCAGUCCCAUUAUUUCCUUUUGUUUGAUGAUAUUGCUAUUUGCUUAGGCCUAACUUGGUAAAACUAGUUAUUAGACAAAUUCGUGGGAAGAUAUGAAAAUUUUAAACAUCAUAUAGUGAUACG